GUGGAAUCUGACUGACUGACCACAGCAUCCUUCAUCUCACAGUGAUGGUCUACAUGAGGCUGUGGCAGUGGAUGUAAGCUUUGUUUAUAUGGUGCCUGGUGAGAGCUGAGCUUGCUUUGAGAUCAAAGGAUGAAGAACACUUCACUGAAAGUCUAGUGUAAUGGUUAACACAUUUAUCUAUUAAAGAAGAACCACUGGGUGAUGUGUGACAGUGGUAAAGUCUCUGCAGCUACUGAAAUCCACCUAACAGGUGUCAACAGACACUGGGAAUUUCUUCUGCCAAGAGAAGAGCCUUCUUUCACAGCAACAGCUAUUGUUAAAAAUGAAGAACAGCAAGAAAACUGCAACCUACACACAACCCCCUGAAGAGAUCAAGGAACAGAAAGCACUUUUAUCUUCUUCCCUCUCAUCUGCCACAGGCAGCAGUGCUCACCUCUGGAGCUGGGAAAGGAGUUGUUCAGCUGCUCCAUCACUUCCUCCAAACCUGUGCUUGUGUCCUGGGGAGGGCUGAGCAACUCAUCCUCACCUGGAAAGCAAAUCCACACCACUGUAUAAGAGCCUCUGUAACACCAUUUGCUAACAGCUUGCUGCUGCAUAUGUCCUUCAUGAAGCUAAGGCUGUUCACUUGAACACAUUUUCUGCUUAGAAUGCAGUCAAAAUUUUAAA